rnacentral:rRNA from 1 species
GAUGAACGCUGGCGGCGUGCCUAAUACAUGCAAGUCGAGCGGAUAAAGGGGGCUCUUGCAUCGAUUAAGUGAGCGGCGGACGGGUGAUUAACACGUGGCUAACCGGCCUUUGAGGAUGGGGUAACGUAGGGAAACCUAAGCUAAUACCGGAUAAGAGCUUGAAACGCAGGGUUCAUGAGUGAAAGAGGUAUUUGCUGAACCUAGGUCGGAUUACCUAGUUGGUUGGGUAAAGGCGUACGAAGGCGACGAUCCGUAACUGGUCUGAGAGGCUGACCAGCCACACUGGAACUGAGACACGGUCCAGACUCCUACGGGAGGCAGCAGUGGGGAAUAUUGGACAAUGGGCGAAAGCCUGAUCCAGCCAUGCCGCGUGUGUGAAGAAGGUCUUCGGAUUGUAAAGCACUUUAAGUUGGGAGGAAGGGCAGUAAGUUAAAACCUUGAUGUUUUGACGGUACCUACAGAGAAAGCAACGGCUAACUACGUG